CGGGACACGUGGUAUCCUGUCUGAAUAUGGGGGGACCAUCCUCCAAGGCUAAAUACUCCUGACUGACCGAUAGUGAACCAGUACCGUGAGGGAAAGGCGAAAAGAACCCCGGCGAGGGGAGUGAAAAAGAACCUGAAACCGUGUACGUACAAGCAGUGGGAGCACGCUUCGGCGUGUGACUGCGUACCUUUUGUAUAAUGGGUCAGCGACUUAUAUUCUGUAGCAAGGUUAACCGAAUAGGGGAGCCGAAGGGAAACCGAGUCUUAACUGGGCGUUAAGUUGCAGGGUAUAGACCCGAAACCCGGUGAUCUAGCCAUGGGCAGGUUGAAGGUUGGGUAACACUAACUGGAGGACCGAACCGACUAAUGUUGAAAAAUUAGCGGAUGACUUGUGGCUGGGGGUGAAAGGCCAAUCAAACCGGGAGAUAGCUGGUUCUCCCCGAAAGCUAUUUAGGUAGCGCCUCGUGAAUUCAUCUCCGGGGGUAGAGCACUGUUUCGGCAAGGGGGUCAUCCCGACUUACCAACCCGAUGCAAACUGCGAAUACCGGAGAAUGUUAUCACGGGAGACACACGGCGGGUGCUAACGUCCGUCGUGAAGAGGGAAACAACCCAGACCGCCAGCUAAGGUCCCAAAGUCAUGGUUAAGUGGGAAACGAUGUGGGAAGGCCCAGACAGCCAGGAUGUUGGCUUAGAAGCAGCCAUCAUUUAAAGAAAGCGUAAUAGCUCACUGGUCGAGUCGGCCUGCGCGGAAGAUGUAACGGGGCUAAACCAUGCACCGAAGCUGCGGCAGCGACACUAUGUGUUGUUGGGUAGGGGAGCGUUCUGUAAGCCUGCGAAGGUGUACUGUGAGGUAUGCUGGAGGUAUCAGAAGUGCGAAUGCUGACAUAAGUAACGAUAAAGCGGGUGAAAAGCCCGCUCGCCGGAAGACCAAGGGUUCCUGUCCAACGUUAAUCGGGGCAGGGUGAGUCGACCCCUAAGGCGAGGCCGAAAGGCGUAGUCGAUGGGAAACAGGUUAAUAUUCCUGUACUUGGUGUUACUGCGAAGGGGGGACGGAGAAGGCUAUGUUGGCCGGGCGACGGUUGUCCCGGUUUAAGCGUGUAGGCUGGUUUUCCAGGCAAAUCCGGAAAAUCAAGGCUGAGGCGUGAUGACGAGGCACUACGGUGCUGAAGCAACAAAUGCCCUGCUUCCAGGAAAAGCCUCUAAGCAUCAGGUAACAUCAAAUCGUACCCCAAACCGACACAGGUGGUCAGGUAGAGAAUACCAAGGCGCUUGAGAGAACUCGGGUGAAGGAACUAGGCAAAAUGGUGCCGUAACUUCGGGAGAAGGCACGCUGAUAUGUAGGUGAAGCGACUUGCUCGUGGAGCUGAAAUCAGUCGAAGAUACCAGCUGGCUGCAACUGUUUAUUAAAAACACAGCACUGUGCAAACACGAAAGUGGACGUAUACGGUGUGACGCCUGCCCGGUGCCGGAA
rnacentral:rRNA from 1 species